rnacentral:rRNA from 1 species
AGAGUUUGAUCCUGGCUCAGAGUGAACGCUGGCGGCAGGCCUAACACAUGCAAGUCGAGCGGCAGCGCAGCAGUAGCAAUACUGUGGGCGGCGAGCGGCGGACGGGUGAGGAAUACAUCGGAAUCUACCUUCUUGUGGGGGAUAACGUAGGGAAACUUACGCUAAUACCGCAUAAGACCUGAGGGUGAAAGCGGGGGACCGCAAGGCCUCGCGCGAGAAGAUGAGCCGAUGUCGGAUUAGCUAGUUGGUGGGGUAAAGGCUCACCAAGGCGACGAUCCGUAGCUGGUCUGAGAGGAUGAUCAGCCACACUGGAACUGAGACACGGUCCAGACUCCUACGGGAGGCAGCAGUGGGGAAUAUUGGACAAUGGGCGCAAGCCUGAUCCAGCCAUGCCGCGUGUGUGAAGAAGGCCUUCGGGUUGUAAAGCACUUUUGUACGGGAAGAAACCUUCCGGGUUAAUACCCCGGGAGAAUGACGGUACCGUAAGAAUAAGCACCGGCUAACUUCGUGCCAGCAGCCGCGGUAAUACGAAGGGUGCAAGCGUUACUCGGAAUUACUGGGCGUAAAGCGUGCGUAGGUGGUUCGUUAAGUCUGCCGUGAAAGCCCCGGGCUCAACCUGGGAAUUGCGGUGGAUACUGGCGGACUAGAGUGCGGUAGAGGGUGGUGGAAUUCCCGGUGUAGCAGUGAAAUGCGUAGAGAUCGGGAGGAACAUCUGUGGCGAAGGCGGCCACCUGGACCAGCACUGACACUGAGGCACGAAAGCGUGGGGGAGCAAACAGGAUUAGAUACCCUGGUAGUCC